GCCGCCAUGGCGCAGUGGUAACGCGUCGCACUUGUACCACUAAGACAGUAAACUGUCUAGCAAUCUAAUGCGAAGAUCCCUAGUUCAAUUCUGGGUGGCGGCAU
rnacentral:tRNA from 1 species